rnacentral:rRNA from 1 species
AGAGUUUGAUCCUGGCUCAGAAUCAACGCUGGCGGCGUGCCUCAGACAUGCAAGUCGAACGAUUAAACUUCUCUUCGGAGAAGAUAUAAAGUGGCGCACGGGUGAGUAACACGUAGGUAAUGUACCUUUGGGUGGGGAAUAACUUAGGGAAACUUAAGCUAAUACCGCAUAAUGCAGCGGCUCCUUCGGGAGACAGUUGUUAAAGAUUUAUCGCCUAAAGAGCAGCCUGCGGCAGAUUAGCUAGUUGGUAAGGUAACGGCUUACCAAGGCUACGAUCUGUAUCCGACCUGAGAGGGUGGUCGGACACACUGACACUGAAUAACGGGUCAGACUCCUACGGGAGGCAGCAGUCGGGAAUUUUGGGCAAUGGGCGAAAGCCUGACCCAGCAACGCCGCGUGAAGGAUGAAGUCUUUCGGGAUGUAAACUUCGUAAGAAUAGGAAGAAUAAAUGACGGUACUAUUUGUAAGGUCCGGCUAACUACGUGCCAGCAGCCGCGGUAAUACGUAGGGACCAAGCGUUGUUCGGAUUUACUGGGCGUAAAGGGCGCGUAGGCGGCGUGACAAGUCAAUUGUGAAAUCUCCGGGCUUAACUCGGAACGGUCAAUUGAUACUGUUGUGCUAGAGUACAGAAGGGGCAAUCGGAAUUCUUGGUGUAGCGGUGAAAUGCGUAGAUAUCAAGAGGAACACCUGAGGUGAAGACGGGUUGCUGGGCUGAUACUGACGCUGAGGCGCGAAAGCUAGGGUAGCAAACGGGAUUAGAUACCCCGGUAGUCCUAGCCCUAAACGAUGAAUACUUGGUGUCUGGAGUUUUAUUCUCCGGGUGCCGUCGCUAACGUUUUUAGUAUUCCGCCUGGGGGAGUACGCACGCAAGUGUGAAACUCAAAGGAAUUGACGG